rnacentral:rRNA from 1 species
UACGUAGGUGGCAAGCGUUGUCCGGAUUUACUGGGCGUAAAGGAUGCGUAGGCGGAUGUUUAAGUGAGAUGUGAAAUACCCGAGCUCAACUUGGGUGCUGCAUUUCAAACUGGAUAUCUAGAGUGCAGGAGAGGAAAGCGGAAUUCCUAGUGUAGCGGUGAAAUGCGUAGAGAUUAAGAAGAACACCAGUGGCGAAGGCGGCUUUCUGGACUGUAACUGACGCUGAGGCAUGAAAGCGUGGGGAGCAACCAGG